GCACUAUAUCUGGUCACUGAUCUCUUCCUCUUUGGCUUUUGCCCUUGCAUUUUGCUUCUUGGCUCCCAUGAGGUGAAGCAACUUUCCUCCACCUGCUCUUUCUGACCUGGAGCAGGCUAACUGUGGACUGAAACCUCUGAAAACUUCCUUUGGACCUGAUUUGUGAGAGGAGUUUGGAAAGACCUUAAAAAUAUUCCAAAUGCAAAAAAAAAAAAAAAAAAAAAAAGACUACAGAACUUCCUGCCUUACUUAUCACACCAAUUUUAUUGGACUGGCCAUACUCUCUGGAUAGGACACAAGGAACAUAGAGCUCAGUGAAUUACAAUCUGAUGUGAAACUCAAGUUAUGCAGCCAAAAACAUGUUUUGCAAUCUGCUGGACCAAAGUUAUUUAAGGAUUGUUUUUCCCAGGAAAAAGAAAAAUUUUAAAGCAAGUAUAUGUAUCCGUUAACACAGUUCACUACAAUAAAUUGAAAUGUUCUUAUUUCCUCUAUAAUAAAUGAGACUCUUGGCAAGAAACAAAA